CAAGGUGGUGGGAAGCCUACUCAUGCAUUCUCAUAAGAAUAGCCUAGAUACACCAUAGAAAGGUUGUUAAAACUUGCUGACAUUUUCUCUCUUUUGCMGUGAGAGAAAUCCUCCCUGCCCGUUCUGUGCCAUGCAGCUGUCUGCUAAGUCCCUCAGCAGCUUGUUCCCAUCACUGUCACCAAGCUGCUUGGCUUUACCUAUGGGUGAGAUCUCUGAGGAGUGUGGAUAAGAGCCUGUACAUGUCGGAGGUGCUUUGGAGGAGAUCCUCACCUUCCAGGAGGAGAUCCUUCACAUAGUGAGGAGCGUGUGACGUUUACCCACUGGAGAGGCCCCGUCUUCUGAGAGUGGCUCUGCGCAAGGCCUGGAUUACACACAGGAAAACUGG